rnacentral:lncRNA from 1 species
CGACCACACAAAAAAAAAAUAAUCUCAUAUUAGAAUUAAUUCUAUUGUUUAUAUGAUUUUCUAAUAGUUCUCAUAUUAAACUCAUAUUAUUUCUAAUAGUUCUCGUUGAAAAAAAUUUGAUAACUUUUACACGUUGACCCAUAGGAAUUAAAAUCUUGGAUCCGCCACUGCAUCCAUCCAUCCAUGUUCGUGUUCUUUUCCUCAAAAUUAACUCGAGAAAAAAAAACUUGCCGACAAAUUAUUGAUGUGUUAAACUAAAAAUUUAUAACAUUCUAAUUAAACAAUCCGUAAGGAUCCUUAUUCAACUUCACAUUUUCUUAUUAUCAUUCUUGAACAAAGAGGAAACUGAAAAAUCACGCUAAGAAUUUGAGAUAUAUUCUAACACAAACAUCAAACUAGAAUCUAAACAAUACAAAAUGAAGAUGUUAAAAUCAUCAAACUCCGCCCAAUUCCAGCUUCAAAUCACAUAUAUAUAUAUAUAUAUAUAUAUAUAUAUAUAUAUAUAUAUAACAACUGCUAUUUCCAUGCACUAAUUGUUUUGCGAAUCUUCAUCCCUUUCUUAGCGUCAAUGAGACAGAAGCUUCAUGCAACUCAUGAGUGUCUUGCAGGCCAGCUUCUCAGAUUAUAUCAGAGAGUACGUUUCAGAGAAAGCGGGUACGUAGCCUUCAUCGAUCGAUCUCUGGUUCAUUAUUUAGUGACGCAAUUAAUUACAACCGAGAGAGAUAUGAAUUUUGGGGAAAGUAAGAAACCACUAUGGGAGCUCCCGAUGAUGAUGAUGAGGAUGAUUUUGAUUUGCCUUUUUUGGAGUCCUUUGAAGAAGGCUCUUUGUUGCAGCUGCCUCCCGCAUCAUCAGAGACCUGAUGUGACGAUGAGCAAGGAAAGAAGCAAUUGAGAAAACCUGAGAAAAUGGCCAUUCUUUUUUAUUAAAAGGGUGAAUGAAUAGCAAAGAGAGACGAGAGCUAGGCUUGUGCUGGUAGCUGAGGCUACUUUCUUACAACAAAGAAAUGGAUGGCUGGCCAACAAAGAUAAGAGUUUGCUAUAAGAUUAAGGGGAAGGCUAGCAUGGUCGUUGAGUAUUUAUAGUGAGAUAGGAUGGAUACAAAUGUGACGUUUCUUGAUUAACUUGCAGGGCAAGAAGGAUUUGAAGGUUCUGUCGACACUAAGAGCAUCCACAAUGGGCUCCCUAAACCACUUUUUUAGACAAAUUUUAGAUGGGAAUUGAAAAAAUACAACUCCAACCAUGCUCUGUAUCCA